GACGAACGCUGGCGGCGUGCCUAAUACAUGCAAGUCGACCUGAGUUGCGAACGGGUGAGUAACGCGUAGGAACCUGCCUCAUAGCGGGGGAUAACUAUUGGAAACGAUAGCUAAUACCGCAUACUGUGAGAUGGACCUGCGUUGUAUUAGCUAGUUGGUGAGGUAAAGGCUCACCAAGGCGACGAUCCGUAACGGGUCUGAGAGGAUGAUCAGUCACACUGGAACUGAGACACGGUCCAGACUCCUACGGGAGGCAGCAGUGGGGAAUAUUGGACAAUGGGCGAAAGCCUGAUCCAGCCAUGCCGCGUGUGUGAAGAAGGUCUUCGGAUUGUAAAGCACUUUAAGUUGGGAGGCGUUACCAACAGAAUAAGCACCGGCUAACUUCGUGCCAGCCGCCGCGGUAAUUC
rnacentral:rRNA from 1 species